AAGGCGAGGCCGAAAGGCGUAGUCGAUGGGAAACGGGUUAAUAUUCCCGUACUUGGUGUUACUGCGAAGGGGGGACGGAGAAGGCUAUGUUGGCCGGGCGACGGUUGUCCCGGUUUAAGCGUGUAGGCUGGUUUUCCAGGCAAAUCCGGAAAAUCAAGGCUGAGGCGUGACGACGAGGCACUACGGUGCUGAAGCAACAAAUGCCCUGCUUCCAGGAAAAGCCUCUAAGCAUCAGGUAACA
rnacentral:rRNA from 1 species